CACACAGCGGUGAAGAAGAAAUAAAUCAACUGCUGUGUUGGAGAGACGACCAACUGGUCCCACUCUUUCAUGUGUUUCAGGGAAUAUUCUACAUGCCAGGAUGGAACCACUGCCCAACCACUGGAUUCCUGCAGGGAAGGUGAAGAAACCCAAGGAAGAGGCCGAAGUCGCAGAGUAGGGCACAGACGACACAGAGCCUGGAGCAAGCACGGUGGAGAGCUCCAUGAGGCCAAGGCAUCCAGAGCAUCCCUCCAUCCCAACAUUGGCAAAUGACCAUCAUCAAGCACCUCAGGCCUUUCUCAGUGUUGCUGGACAGGCUUCGAGCAGGGGUCUCCAAUUAAAAUAGAGUAAGGUCCGCUGAUGCAGGUUCUUUUCACAGCUAAAAUCUGGACCUUAUGUUGCCUUAAAAUUAUGUCAAACAGACUAGCUCAUAUGAAUAUCACAUGGAAUUAGAGCUGCAAGUAGCGUUGAACGGGGGCCCUCGCACCCCCAUGCAACUCGAGGGCACACAGACGCAGGUCUUGAAGCCAGUUUUCCUGGUUUGAAAAAGAUUGUUGGGUGACCUAACUCACCGUAAAGAAUUUUGAGGUAAUUUUACUAUGUUUAUUUUUUUUUACCAGGAGGGGGCGAUACUGGUGCCAAGGUUACCAUGUAAUUUGAGCAGUUGGUUGUGCCAUUGGAGUGUGAUGGUGUAAUGGUGAUUGUACCUGCUGACAACGUUUGCAAUACUGCUAAGUAUGAACCGGCCACUGAAAGUUAAUUUUGGAACAGAUUGGAUUGCUACAUGUGUAUAUGUAUAUACAUAUAUAUUUGUAUAUAUG